CAGUCAGAGGCGAUGAAGGGCGUGCUAAUCUGCGAUAAGCGCCGGUAAGGUGAUAUGAACCGUUAUAACCGGCGAUACCCGAAUGGGGAAACCCAGUGUGACUCGUCACACUAUCAUUAACUGAAUCCAUAGGUUAAUGAGGCGAACCGGGGGAACUGAAACAUCUAAGUACCCCGAGGAAAAGAAAUCAACCGAGAUUCCCCCAGUAGCGGCGAGCGAACGGGGAGGAGCCCAGAGCCUGAAUCAGCAUGUGUGUUAGUGGAAGCGUCUGGAAAGGCGCGCGAUACAGGGUGACAGCCCCGUACACAAAAGCGCAUGUGCUGUGAGCUCGAUGAGUAGGGCGGGACACGUGGUAUCCUGUCUGAAUAUGGGGGGACCAUCCUCCAAGGCUAAAUACUCCUGACUGACCGAUAGUGAACCAGUACCGUGAGGGAAAGGCGAAAAGAACCCCGGCGAGGGGAGUGAAAAAGAACCUGAAACCGUGUACGUACAAGCAGUGGGAGCACAGGUUUACCUGUGUGACUGCGUACCUUUUGUAUAAUGGGUCAGCGACUUAUAUUCUGUAGCAAGGUUAACCG
rnacentral:rRNA from 1 species